UCCUUUCAGAAUAAACCUAUAGAGAGGGAUUUGAUCUCAGGGAAAGACUAAGCCCAUGAGCUUACAUGUUAGGAUCACUCAAUUAAUUGUAAUCCGAACCACUAAAACACCAAGAAAUACUACAAUACUUUCUCUUAGUAACACUACUCCUUCAUCAAUUGAUAACUACAAUGUACAACUGUGCACUCUUAAAAGACUCUUCAAAAUACAUAAAUUCCAUCCAACACCAAAAAUAAUAGACUUCACUCCAACCAAUCUGAAUUCACAUAAUUUCUAUAAUCACAAACUUUUUUUGUCGAAACACACUUACAACUCGCAAUAAAUAACAAUCAUAAUCUUCCAUCCAUAAUCAAUCUUCCAAUAACUUCUCAUAUAAUUCAAUCACACAAUACUCCAAUUAUAUAAUCGAUAACUCAUAAAUCAAUCUCUG
rnacentral:lncRNA from 1 species